AGGCCUAACACAUGCAAGUCGUACGAGAGUUUUUAACUCUAGUGGCGGACGGGUGAGUAACACGUGAGAAUUUGCCUUUAGGAGGGGGACAACAAUUGGAAACGAAUGCUAAUACCCCAUAUGCUUUCGAGUGAAAUGGAUUUUAUCCGCCUAGAGAGAAGCUCGCGGCUGAUUAGCUUGUUGGUAAGGUAAGAGCUUACCAAGGCGACGAUCAGUAUCUGGUUUGAGAGGACGAUCAGACACACUGGAACUGAGACACGGUCCAGACUCCUACGGGAGGCAGCAGUGGGGAAUUUUCCGCAAAGGGCGAAAGCCUGACGGAGCAAUACCGCGUGAGGAUAAAAGGCCUAUGGGUUGUAAACCUCUUUUUCAGGGAGGAAUAAAUGAC
rnacentral:rRNA from 1 species